GUACACGUGCUCGGAUAACGCUCA
rnacentral:miRNA from 1 species